rnacentral:lncRNA from 1 species
UCUAUUCUCUUCUUCAUCAAGCCAUCUCUCUUAUUCAUAAGAUCUUUCUCCUUGGUCCCUUUUUCCUCUAAAUCUCAUGUACCAAGAGAGACUCUUCUUGAGCAAAGACCAUUCAUAUCCUCUUAAUUUUUUCCUCAUCAAGCCUCUCUAUCUAUCUUUUUCCUUAUCAAGCCAUCACUCCCAUCUAUCAAAUCUCCCUCUCAAGUC